rnacentral:lncRNA from 1 species
CUUUAUGUUAGUAACAUAAUGCACAGCCAGAAUUGUUAAAUUUGCUUUUUUCCUUUCUAGCAAAGAUAUUUUUCUCUUUGUGUUAAUCUUUAAUCAAAAAUAAUAAAUAUACUUCCUAAAAAUAAUGGAAACUUUAGAAAAGGGAUAUGCUAUGGAAAGUAAAUCCUUCUCUCUCAAAAAUGUUCUAUGUACAUACACAUGUUUUCUGUUUAACUACAUAUUGCCUUAUUCCUGCUUUUUUUUUUUUUUUCAUAGGUGGGAGCGUACUGUGUACUCUUUUAUACCUUGGUAUCUUUCAGUUAUGUAAUUUUGGAGACUUUCCAGAACAGAAAGUGGAGAUCAGCAUUAUUUCCAAGGCUGCAUGGUAUUUCAGCAAAGAAAAAUAAUUCCAGUUGGAAGCAUGGAAAUGGGAAAGAGGCUGAAGGGGGAUCGAAUGGAUCAGUUUAUGGGUAAGUCACAAUGAUACUGGCUGUGUAACAUGAUGCAGGUAACAUUGUGUGGUGUUCGAAGAGUGUGUAGAUUUUUUUUUUUUAAGAUUUUAUUUAUAUAUUUGACAGAGAUCACAAGUAGGCAAAGAGGCAGGCAGAGGGAGAGGGGGAAGCAGGCUCCCUGCUGAGCAGAAAGCCCAAUGCAGGGCUCCAUCCCAGAACCCUGAGAUCAUGCCUGAGCUGAAGGCAGAGGCUUAACCCACUGAGCCACCAGGCACCCCUUGUUUUGUUUUUAAUGAUAACACAAAACCAGGAGAAUUUGUAAGGAAGAUCUAAGGUUCUUGCAUUUCUGUGGAAAGUGGUAAAAUUCUAAUUUAUAUUAGGAUUAAGUCCAGAAUUUAUAAUUUACCCUUGAGUAUAAUCAUUAAACAAGAUUAAAAGAGUAUAUAGCCUAACAGGUUUCCAGAGGGAAUAAAACCCAAAAAUGAUAUAAAACACUUGAGUAAUACAAAAGGAUACAAUAAAGAAAAGAGAAAUACAAAAAAGUAAGCUGAGUAAGAAACAAAUAGUAAAGCAGUAGAUUUAAACACAAUAUAUCAGUAAUUACACUAAAUGUAAAUGGACUAUUCCAUUUAAAAAAAAUAUUGUCAGGCUCUAUUAAAUAUAUACAAAACCCAAUUAAAUGCUACUUAAAAGAGACACAUAUUUCUAUAUAAGGAUACAGAAAAAUUGAAAACAAAGAGUUGAAAAAGAUGUCCCAGGGAAACAUUAAUCAAAAAGGAAGUUCGUGGGGUGCCUGGGUGGCUCAGUGGGCUAAGC